AAAUGCGAUAAUUAAUGUGAAUUGCAGAAUUCUGUGAAUCAUCGAGUCUUUGAACGCACAUUGCGCCCCCUGGUAUUCCGGGGGGCAUGCCUGUCCGAGCGUCAUUGCUGCCCUCAAGCACGGCUUGUGUGUUGGGCUUCCGUCCCUGGCAACGGGGACGGGCCCAAAAGGCAGUGGCGGCACCAUGUCUGGUCCUCGAGCGUAUGGGGCUUUGUCACCCGCUCCCGUAGGUCCAGCUGGCAGCUAGCCUCGCAACCAAUCUUUUUAACCAGGUUGACCUCGGAUCAGGUAGGGAUACCCGCUGAACUUAAGC
rnacentral:misc_RNA from 1 species